UGAGGCAGGAGAAUUGCUUGAACCCAGGAGGUGGAGGUUGCAGUGAGCCGAGAUCGUGCCACUGCACUCCAGCCUGGGUGACAGAGCGAGACUCCAUCUC
ensembl:miRNA